ACUCCCACCCACUCACACUUUUCACUUCCACUCACCCUUUCCACUCUCCCCACUCACACGAUACCUUGCCCCCCAUUCCCUUCCACUCACCAUUUCUCCUACAUACCAAGGAACUAAGUGCGGAGCUACACCCACAGAAGUUCAGCUAUACCACACGGACUCCACAAACUCAGCUGAAAGCUCUAAAGACUUCAUCUACAAAUCACUCUGCCCAUUUUACCUCCAUUCACGGCUUUGAGCAUCAGAAAGAUUAGCACUGCUAUUCCGAUUCAGAGAUAAGGUUAAACGACAGGCUUUGCCUAUUCAGGUUGAGUAGCUACCGAUGGUGAUGAAGUGACGAGCGAGAUUCUUUUGCUUUAUUAUGUAUUAAUGAACUCUAGGGUUACGUGUCUUCAUACAUGUAAUCAGAACCUUAUUCCGCUGCGUACUCAGAAGUUUUAUGUUGUUUUGGCUGAGUCAGAGAUAUCUGAACUUACUAGUUAUUUGAGUUUAUACGACUAAACCUCUGUUAUAUUAUAAAUAUUUCUUUUGUUAAAUGAUGAAAUGUGAUCCUUCCUUGUUUGAUUAUACCCUUUCUACCCCGCUUCUAAUCUCCCUCCAUUAGUCACGG